GCAAGGGUCGCAUAGUGGUCGAGUGCGUUGGGUUGCUAUCCCAAUAAUGAUAUAAUGUCGUUCGAGGGUUCGAAUCCCUCCCCUUGCG
rnacentral:tRNA from 1 species